rnacentral:lncRNA from 1 species
GCCGAACUCCGGCGAUCUCCCGGCCGGCACCCAUGGCAGCGUCGCCGUCGCCACGUCCACCACGUCAGCACCACGCAUGCGCCACGCAGCCACCACAUGGGCAAAGACAGCCAAGCCCCGGUCAGCACUGUUUGUUUUACAUAAGGCCCCUGACUUUUUUUUUUGCCUCUUACACAAAAAUGGUGUUACGAUCUUUUUCAAAUAAUAUAGACAUUUUUUUGCCUCUUACACACAAAUGAUAUUUUUUAAAUUAUCUAGGCAAUUUUUGUAAAAUAUUUUAAAUCGUUUCUCAUUACUUUGUUGCCGGUCAGGUCAUACAAGUUUUUCUGUCUCUUACGGAAAAAUAUGUGUUUUUUAAGUAUUCUUUGAAUUUAUAAAAAAAAUUUAAAAAAACACUGCUCAUUGUUACUCACUACGAAAAAAUAAAAAAAAUGAAAUUGGCCUCCAGUGAUCCGUCGGCCAAGCGGUUUGGGCCAACAAAUAGGGGAAAGCUGGCGCCGCGGCGGUUAUAUAUCCCGUCUGCUUCCCUCCCUCUCCCUCUCUCUUCAACGGCAUUGAAUUGGAAUUUAAGAACUCGCCUCCUUUCUCCUCCACCUCGCCUUCCCCGACUCCGGCACGAGCGGGCGACAACUCCCGCACCGUUCUCGUCUUUCUUCUCUCCGUCAUGCCGGCUUCAUCACCCUCCCAGACAUCGAACCAGAAGCUGGAAGAAUUUACAUCGCCUAGAUUCACCGUUGUGAUUGCAUGACGGAGAGAAGGAAGACGAGAACUAGGCUUAAAAGAUUCAUCUCGCAAAUUAUAAACAAACUGUGUAAUUAGUUUUAUUUUUAUCUAUAUUUAAUGCUCCAUAUAUGUGUCU